rnacentral:rRNA from 1 species
GACGAACGCUGGCGGCGUGCCUAAUACAUGCAAGUCGAACGCAGUGGGGACGGGUGAGUAACACGUGGGUAACCUCCCAUCAGAGGGGAUAACACUUGGAAACAGGUGCUAAACCGAUACUGAUGGAUGGACCCGCGGUGCAUUAGCUAGUUGGUGAGGUCACGGCUCACCAAGGCCACGAUGCAUAGGCUAACUGAGGAGGGGAUCGGCACAACCGGGACUGAGACACGGCCCAGACUCCGACGGGAGGGAGCAGGAGGGAAUUCUCGGCAAUGGAAGAAAGGCUGACCGAGCAACGCCGCGUGAGGGAAGAAGGUUUUCGGAUCGGAAAACCCUGGUAAUCGGGACGCGGUACCGGAACAGAAAGCCACGGCUAACUACGUGCCAGCAGCCGCGGUAAUUC